rnacentral:rRNA from 1 species
GAUGAACGCUGGCGGCAUGCUUUACACAUGCAAGUCGGACGGGAAGUGGUGUUUCGAGUGGCGGACGGGGGAGUAACGCGUAAGAACCUGCCCUUGGGAGGGGAACAACAGCUGGAAACGGCUGCUAAUACCCCGUAGGCUGAGGAGCGAAAGGAGGAAUCCGCCCAAGGAGGGGCGCGCGUCUGAUUAGCUAGUUGGUGAGGUAAUAGCUUACCAAGGCCGUGAUCAGUAGCUGGUACGAGAGGAUGAUCAGCCACACUGCGACUGAGACAAGGCGCAGGCUACUUUGGGAGGCAGGAGCAAGCAAUAUCCAGCAAUGCCGCAAAGGUUAACGAGGCAUUGCCGCGGGGAAGUAAAAUGCCUACGGGUCAUAAACAUCUUUUCCUGAAGAAGAAACAAUGACGGUACCUAGAGAAUAAGCAUCGGCUAACUCUGUG